UUCAGAGGAUGUGACCUUUGACCUGACUGU
rnacentral:piRNA from 1 species